rnacentral:rRNA from 1 species
GAUGAACGCUGGCGGCGUGCCUAAUACAUGCAAGUCGAGCGAACGGACGAGAAGCUUGCUUCUCUGAUGUUAGCGGCGGACGGGUGAGUAACACGUGGAUAACCUACCUAUAAGACUGGGAUAACUUCGGGAAACCGGAGCUAAUACCGGAUAAUAUUUUGAACCGAAUGGUUCAAAAGUGAAAGACGGUCUUGCUGUCACUUAUAGAUGGAUCCGCGCUGCAUUAGCUAGUUGGUAAGGUAACGGCUUACCAAGGCAACGAUGCAUAGCCGACCUGAGAGGGUGAUCGGCCACACUGGAACUGAGACACGGUCCAGACUCCUACGGGAGGCAGCAGUAGGGAAUCUUCCGCAAUGGGCGAAAGCCUGACGGAGCAACGCCGCGUGAGUGAUGAAGGUCUUCGGAUCGUAAAACUCUGUUAUUAGGGAAGAACAUAUGUGUAAGUAACUGUGCACAUCUUGACGGUACCUAAUCAGAAAGCCACGGCUAGCUACGUG